GGAGUCUAGCAUGCACGCGAGUCAUUGGGACUAGCGAAACCUAAAGGCGAAAUGAAAGUGAAGGUCGAUCUCGCGUCGACCGAGGGAGGAUGGGCCGCGUGCAAGCGCGGCCCCGCACUCCCGGGGCGUCUCAUUCUCAUCGCGAGAAGAGGCGCACCCAGAGCGUACACGCUGGGACCCGAAAGAUGGUGAACUAUGCCUGGUCAGGACGAAGUCAGGGGAAACCCUGAUGGAGGUCCGAAGCGAUUCUGACGUGCAAAUCGAUCGUCGGAACUGGGUAUAGGGGCGAAAGACUAAUCGAACCAUCUAGUAGCUGGUUCCCUCCGAAGUUUCCCUCAGGAUAGCUGGCGCUCGCUUUUGCGAGUCUCAUCUGGUAAAGCGAAUGAUUAGAGGCAUUGGGGUCGAAACGGCCUCAACCUAUUCUCAAACUUUAAAUGGGUGAGAUCUCCGGCUUGCUUGAACGGUGAAGCCGCGAGAUCGGAUCAGAGUGCCAAGUGGGCCAUUUUUGGUAAGCAGAACUGGCGCUGUGGGAUGAACCAAACGCAGAGUUAAAGCUCCUAAAUCGACGCUCAUGGGAUACCAUGAAAGGCGUUGGUAACUUAAGACAGCAGGACGGUGGCCAUGGAA
rnacentral:rRNA from 2 species